UACGGGGGGGGUAAGCGUUGUUCGGAAUUACUGGGCGUAAAGGGCUCGUAGGCGGCCAACUAAGUCGGACGUGAAAUCCCUCAGCUUAACUGGGGAACUGCGUCCGAUACUGGAUGGCUUGGAUUUGGGAGAGGGAUGCGGAAUUCCUGGUGUAGCGGUGGAAUGCGCAGAUAUCAGGAGGAACACCGGUGGCGAAGGCGGGUCUCUGGGCAGUAACUGACGCUGAGGAGCGAAAGCGUGGGGAGCGAACAGG
rnacentral:rRNA from 1 species